GUCAGAACGAACAUCGCGCCGCCGCACAGCGCACGUUUUCAAACCGGGAGCAAAAAUAUAACUGGAAAUGACGUCUGGGUGCGGGGGACAUUUCGGAGACUUCAUUUAGAGCUUUACGACAGCUUAUGCAAACUUCACUCCCCCUUCGCUUCCCCCUCGCGGUGCCCGACUGCUCUUUGGAGAACUGCCUCUCAAACCCAGCCCGACCCUCCCCAGCACGAGGUGAGGCACGAGGUGAGGCCGUCACCUCCCGUCCUAUGGCUGGUUACGAUAUUAACCCCAACGCUGUGGCUGCAGGAGCCGCAUCAGUGCAAAGGAAGCCGGUUCCUUCUAAUUGCUGCAGCUCAAUUUACCCAAUCCUUCUUGCUCCUGGAGAGACUCGCAGACUGAGAACGUCUGUCUCCUGUCGCAUGGGAUGAGGUGUCUUUGCGACAUACUGUAGAUGAAGGCCACAUCACCCCUCCUGACUUCUUGGCACCACGACUUCACUUUCACAAGGUUAACACCAAACGGAGUCCAUUGAGACGAGAACUGGAAUUAAAACUCUCCUCCACCCUCACCAGAACCUACCGCCUCAGGACUCAGGAUGUGACUGAAGGAAAGAAAAUCCUCCAACCACAAAAAUAAGCCUAAAAUGCCAUUACUGGCACCGUGUGUUCAACAUCACUGCUCUGUUAUGCCGACAGGAGGGCUGAGCAGCAGCAGCAGCAGCCGUGGUUCCCAUCCUUUGGCCCUCCCGUGCCC
ensembl:lncRNA